rnacentral:rRNA from 1 species
UACGAAGGGAGCUAGCGUUGUUCGGAAUUACUGGGAGUAAAGGGCGCGUAGGCGGCUUCGAUAGGUGGGCGUGAAAUGCCUGGGCUCAACCCAGGAAUUGCGCUCAAUACUGUGAGGCUUGAGUGUGGGAGAGGAUAGUGGAAUUCCCAGUGUAGAGGUGAAAUUCGUAGAUAUUGGGAAGAACACCAGCGGCGAAGGCGGCUAUCUGGACCACAACUGACGCUGAGGCGCGAAAGCGUGGGGAGCAAACAGG